AUGGGGAGGAAGAGGCUCACCUGGUCGCCAUCAACGUCCAAAGAAGAAGCCGGAGAGUCGUGCAGCACGCCGUGCUCGACAGUGGCCAGCAAGGGCCACUGUGUCGUGUACACUGCCGAUGGUGUAAGGUUCGAGGUGCCUCUUGCGUUCCUCGGAACGACCGUCUUCGGCGAGCUCUUGAGGAUAUCCCAAGAGGAGUUCGGCUUCUCAGGCAUUGACGGUGGCAGAAUCACGCUGCCCUGUGACGCAUCGGUGAUGGAGUAUGCCAUGUGCUUGCUAAGGAGAAGCGCCUCCGCAGAGAUGGAGCCAGAAACACAAGAAACUACCAUGACGAGUGCCAAGACACUUGCUCGGCUGGCCAAGAAGUGGCAGAGGGUGGCGGCUAUGGGAAGGAAGAGGCUCACCUGGUCGCCAUCAACGUCCAAAGAAGAAGCCGGAGAGUCGUGCAGCACGCCGUGCUCGACAGCGGCCGGCAAGGGCCACUGCGUCGUGUACACUGCCGAUGGUGUAAGGUUCGAGGUGCCUCUUACGUUCCUCGGAACGACCGUCUUCAGCGAGCUCUUGAGGAUAUCCCAAGAGGAGUUUGGCUUCACAGGUGUUGACGGUGGCAGAAUCACUCUGCCCUGCGACGCAUCGGUGAUGGAGUAUGCCAUGUGCUUGCUCAGGAGAAGCGCCUCCACAGAGAUGGAGGCCGCGUUUCUCAACACCAUGGUGAUGCCAUGCCACUAUCAUGUGGCGCCACAUCUGGGAGUUGGCCAGCGAUUCGGUGUAUGCAGCUCCUGA
rnacentral:rRNA from 1 species